CAUCAGGUGAAGAUGUGCGUGAUUUCACCAAGGUGCUGAAAAAUAACUUCAGAUCAAAGAAAUACUUUGCCAAACAUCCUCGCUUGGGUUAUUUACCACUACAAACAGUCCUAGAAGACGAGGAAAUAUUAGUGAUGCAAUGAAGAGUUUGAUGAUAAAAUAUAAUUACUGUUACGGUUUCCUCUUGGACGAAAUAUUCUCAUCAAAUUGACUGGUCAAGGAAAUGGGACACUGACUGUGAGUACUUUGAGUGUUUAAGUGAUUCCUAAAAUGAAAAUUAUGACCUUGAUUUCUCUUGCAUGCAGAUAUGAAGAGACUAUUUUAAAAAUCCUCUCGGUUCGUGGUUCAGGCAUAAAGGUGUCACAUGUAUAUUUAUGUAUAUACAUGUACAUGUGUAAUCUGAAAAGAAAAUGACGAUAAAUCACUUGUUACAAGAGAAGGAGCGGGAGCAGCGGAGGAAGUGACGAGGACCAGAGGGGCAGCCGGGAAGGAAAGCAGUGAGUAUAAAUACUCACCCUUCGACGCCAACGGCCAUUAUGAGUGCGAGCAGCAGCAGAGGCAAGAUGGACCCGGAAGACUGCAGCUAAGAUGCGGAUAAAGUUCUCCAAGCUGACAGAAAUUGAAAGCACUCGCAUCCUGUGACGAUGGGGUAGGAGUGGAAGAAUCAGAGUGUUUCUUUGAAAAUUGGCUUGAUGUGUCUGUCCAAGGGUCAUCUGGAGGAAAAAAUACAAGUAUAUCUUCAAACAAGUAGCUGAACCCACAGAUUUAUGUGACCAACGAAGCCUGAGCCUUUUGCUUCACGAUGCAGUCCAGAUCCCUCGGCAGCUGGGUGAGGUAGCUUCAUUUGGAGGCAGCACCAUUGAACCAAGUGUCCGCAGUUGCUUCCAACAUGCACUCAGACAUGAACUAAUGGAUAAGGAGGAGACAAUCAUAACUGCUUUGGAUUCAGCCCAUAGAAGGGCCAGAGGAGCCGCGCUGACACCUUCAUGUUUAAACAGAGGACACUUUUCUGCGUGCCACGAGAUGUAUAUCAGCCAUACCAAAAUGCUGCCUUUGCCUGAGACAGGGAAGAUCAACUGACUUUGGGGAAAUGGAGAAUCAUUCAUGAAUCCAGUUACUUUCUGAUCUGACAGCUUUGUGGCAUCUGAAUGGAUAACAAUUUGAUCUGGUAAUCUCAAUUGAUAGAGUGCAAAUGUGUAGUGAUGCAUUUUGGGAGCUCUGGUAAGUGAAAGAUGUUCACAAUGACUAGUAGAUCCCUAGAGAGCACUGAGAAACAAAGGGACCUUGAUGUCCAAAAGCAAGAGUUCAUGCCCUCUGCUUCUGGCCUUUCAGGCAAAGUUGGAUCCAACACUCCACUGAGUCUUAGAUCCCAUGAGCUCUUGUUUUGUUGACCAGUCUGCUAUCACUGACCUUAUCAAAAACAUAUAGACCACAUCAGAUGAAUUUCCCUCUUCAACACUUCUGAUAUCUCCUCAAUAAAAAUUAGAUAAAAUUUGCAAACCAUGGCAUUACCUCAACAAAGCCAUGCUGACUAUCCCCGAACAUUCCAUGUUUCUCCAAGUGCAGCGACAUUUUGUCCCUUAAAAUUCUUUCUGAUAACUUCCCUACCACCAAGGUUAGACUGGCUUGUAACUUCUGGAUCUGUCCUUUCUUCUUUUAUAUAAAAGUAUGAGCGGUCCUCUGGCACCUUAGCUGUGGCCAGAAAUGACUUGAAAAAUCUUUGCCAGGACCUUUUGAUAUCUCCUCCCCUGCUUCAUAAAGUCAUGCAGUACAGAAACAGGCUCACUUGAUCAACAUCAAUGCCAACUAACAAACAUCAAACUACUGAUCCCAUUUACCUGCACUGAGUCAUUACCUACCAUACCCUGGCCCUUUAAAUGCUCAUCUGUUGCUUCUUUAAUAUUGCAAGCGUAUCUGCCUUCUCCACCUUGUCAAGCAGCAUAUUACAUGUUUGUAUCACUUUUGGUGAAAACACUUGCCUCAGAUCCCCUCUAAAUAGCUGACAGUUUACCUGAAAUCUAUGCCCCCUGACUUAAACUCGUCUACUGGUUCUCACAAUCAAUCUAUGCCUCUCAUAAUUUUGUAUACGUCGAUCAGAUUUCCCCUCAGCCUCCUCUGCUGCAUGGAAAACGCAAUUAGCCUACCAGUUUCUCCUCAUAAAACUUGCAUUCAAUCACAAAACAACACCCUGAAACAUAUACUAUCAACCAACCUGGCCAACAUCUCUGUCUCCGGCUUGCUACAGUGUUCCAGUGAAGCCCAGCACAAGCAGACAGAACAACACCUCAUUUUCUACUUGGGGACCUGACAGCCCUCCAGACUUAACAUUGAGUUCUGCAAUUUUAGGGCCUAAACUCUCCCAUAUCCCAGCGCCCCCACCCCACACACCAGGCUUUGUUACCACGCAGCCUGCCACCACACACUCCCUGUUGUUAGUGACUAACAGUCCCCAUUGACGACUUCCCAGCCUGAUCAUUAGCAACUCCUUUAUCUGUCCACCUGUCUUUCUCUCUCUUUGGGCUCUAUCCUAUUGUUUACUCCCUCCCCCACCCUCCUCCCUAUUUUCGGCAUAGAAACUGAUGUUUUCCCAGCCACCAUCAGUUCUGAGGAAGGGUCACUGGACUGGAAAUGUAAACUCUGUUUUUUCCUCCAACAUAUGUUGCCACACCUGCUGAGCUUUUCCAGCAACUUUGUUUUUGCUCGUCAUUUACAGCAUCCGCAGUUCUUGUGGUUUUUAUCACUAAACCUGUCAGACUCAUCAAUGCUCUCUAAUGCUCCAACUUGUUGCUCAAAUUGCUCCAAUAAGAGGCACCUGCUGUACACAUGGUCAUGCAGACCAGCAGGAGCACUCAGCAUUUGACAUGUAGCGUAGGAUGCACCAAUCAUGGGUCAGAUCUUAAUUCCAGGCAUACCUUAACUCAACAGAACACGGAUCUUUGCUUUUAAUUUACUCAUUCUCCUGCUUAAUUGUAGGGGACAAAAACCGGUGUUCACUCUCAGGUCUCUGCUGGUAUGCCUGCUUUUCAGGGAGAGCCUUAUCUCACCCACUCCUCUCAAUAACAUUCUCUGACUGUCACUGGGCCAACCCUCUGCUCUCAGUAACACUGUCUGCCCGUCACAGGGCCCUCACCCCCUCCUCUAAGUAAUACUGCCCG